CAUGCAAGUCGAGCGGCAGCGCGGGGCAACCUGGCGGCGAGCGGCGAACGGGUGAGGAAUACAUCGGAACGUGCCCGAGAGUGGGGGAUAACGCCGCGAAAGCGGCGCUAAUACCGCAUAUUCUCUUUGGAGGAAAGUGGGGGACCGCAAGGCCUCACGCUCACGGAGCGGCCGAUGUCCGAUUAGCUAGUUGGUGGGGUAAAGGCUUACCAAGGCGACGAUCGGUAGCUGGUCUGAGAGGAUGAUCAGCCACACUGGGACUGAGACACGGCCUAGACUCCUACGGGAGGCAGCAGUGGGGAAUUUUGGACAAUGGGGGCAACCCUGAUCCAGCCAUGCCGCGUGCGGGAAGAAGGCCUUCGGGUUGUAAACCGCUUUUAGCCGGGAAGAAAAGGCGCCACCUAAUACGGGGCGUUCUGGACGGUACCGGCGGAAUAAGCACCGGCUAACUACGUGCCAGCAGCCGCGGUAAUACGUAGGGUGCGAGCGUUAAUCGGAAUUACUGGGCGUAAAGCGUGCGCAGGCGGUUCGUUAAGUUCGUUGUGAAAGCCCCGGGCUCAACCUGGGAACUGCAAUGGAAACUGGCGGGCUUGAAUGCGGCAGAGGGGGGUGGAAUUCCGCGUGUAGCAGUGAAAUGCGUAGAGAUGCGGAGGAACACCGAUGGCGAAGGCAGCCCCCUGGGCCGACAUUGACGCUCAGGCACGAAAGCGUGGGGAGCAAACAGGAUUAGAUACCCUGGUAGUCCACGCCCUAAACGAUGCUCACUAGGUGUUGGGGAAGCGAUUCCUUGGUACCGUAGCUAACGCGUGAAGUGAGCC
rnacentral:rRNA from 1 species